GAAGAGGAAGAAAGAAAGGAUACAAGGGAGAGAGGGAGAGAGAGGCAAUCAUAUGUACCUACGGGGGAAGGAUGGCCAGCCACACAGGAGGGUGAUUUUUACUAAGGAGAAGGAGGCCGUGCUGACCGAGAUGCAUGCUCGCCAUUUCGAAGUUAAGCGUAUGAUUGCCAAAAUCAACCUACGCUUCUUCUGACGGAAUUGUCAAGGAGGUGGAAAGCCGGGCAAAUGAAAUAACCUUUUGUUUAUCAAUCACAUUCUAUUAUAUCUGAAAUUAUUAUGAUUUCAAAAAAUGUCACAUCAGAGAGCACACAAUGUUUCAAUUUGUCACUUUUUGCUUAAAGGUCAGUACCCUGUCUAGUUAGGUCAGUAAAGGAAGAGUACAUGCUUAACUCUAAAUUCCCUUCUGUAACCCAUUAAAAAUAGUGCUUGGAACCAUUAAUAGAUUUUUGUUUUGUUUGAUACCCAAUAAGGACGAGACUGGCGAGGCCACCUCCAAGGCGAUGGUGGACAUCUUCACCACCCACGGUUCUCUUGAGGUCAUCUUGAGUGACCGAGGUCAUGAACACUGGAACAAGGUUUAGUGAAUGGAACAAACAGACCCUCAAGACUGCCAUGGGCAAGACCCUUGAUUUGUAGCAGGAACGGUGGGAGAACAAUCUGAAUGUAAUUAUUUUUGCACACAAAAGCAGCAUCCAGGUCUCUGUAUGGACGGGAGCCACAGCUGUUGACUGAGAUCACUAAAGCUCCACCUGAUGUGGUGGAAGUUGUCGAACCAGAUCAGAAAGCCUUCAAGGACCACCUUCAAGCACGGACUGAGAAGGAUGUGGAGUUUUUUGUUGUUGUUGCUCUGAGUCGGAGGGGUACCAGCUUGAGGAGCUAGGGGUUCUGCCCAACACCCAGAUGUGGAUCCACCUGAUGUCCUCCAAUACCAACCACCUUCCAACUUUUCAUUACAUCAUCUACAGCUACUGUUAUUGUCAUGUUGUCAUUAUCUGCUAAGAAAGUUUUUUUGCUCUAUUAUACUGGGCACACAAUAUGUGAGAUACACAGCUUAACCAAAAACACUAGCACUGCAAACAUUCAGAACAAAGAGAGCAGUAGUGCCUGGACUUUGCCGUCUCCCUCUUCAAGUCCCCCUUCUGAGACUGGCUGUCUGUUGAGAACAACCCAGGUAACAAGGAACGUAACUGAGACAUUUGUAACAUUCCCCUUAAGUCUUCCAGAGGUACUGAAUGUCAUAGCCCGUUUGGGACAUUAUAGGCACAUUCAUAACGUUUCUAAUAAGUAUUAUAGAUGUUAUAAAUAUCCGGUCGAUAUACAGACAUCAUGGGAACAUUAAAAACGUUCCUUGGUAGUCCAUGAAAGGUUCUGAAUAUCAUGUUAUUUUGGAGAUAUUCUAGGAACAUUUCAUAAGGUUACAUUUAGAGCUAUGGUUUUUGUCUUCAUAUAACGUUACAAUCGGAAUAAUAGAAAUACAUUUUGGAACGUCGUCUGUAAGUCAAGUGGUGGUACACUUGUAACGUUGUCUUUCUAAUUGUGUAGGAACAUUUGUUACAUUCUAAAUAAGUAUUUUAGAUCCCAAGAUAUUGGGGCCAGCAUACUUGUGCUUGGAGUAAAGGAAGUGGAUCCA